CCGACAGAGAAGGAACACACACAUAUAUAUCACCAGAUAAAUCACACCGUCUGCAGCUACUUCUGUUCAAUUUCACUAAACUGCAGACGAGAAACAUAAAAAUGGCUGUUGGGGUUGUUGUUAUAAAUCAUGAAGAGGAGAUGUUUCUCGACUUGUGUGACACCGAGGAGCAGAUGGGAAGUAUGACUUUGAAGGAGCUCAAGGAGAAGAUAAGAGACAAGAUUAAACCCAAAUAUCCUGAUCAUGGAGUAGGUAUUCACGAACUACACUUUAAAGAAAAAUUGCUGGAAGACGACUCCGCUCUGCUGUCUGACCUUGGAAUACAGCACAUGUCUACCGUUACUGUAUCAAUUUGGCUUUCACAGACCCAAAUGGGCAGACUCCCUUUCUGUCCGAUACGUUUAUUUGAGGAAAAAGAUGAUGACAAAAAACGCAACAAUUUAGAAUUAAAAAUCGAUUUUGAGCAACAGUUUGAAAUUUCCAACCAACAACCAGGCAACUAAAGAAGCGUCCAUCAUAUCAUCUGGACCUCAUAUUUUCACCAACAGAUCUAAAGAAGCCACAUCAUUUCAAUAUCAUCCACUCUGGACAGCUGCAAAUAAUUUUUUUCCCUACAUUGUAAAACCCUUCAUGAACACUGAACGCAAAAUGAUUAUUAUACUGUAUAUGUUUAAGCAUGUUGCCAUAUAACAAUUUUCCUAUUAUGUCUACAGAAAAUUACCCAGCUUUCCAUAUAUUUUUUAAAUGUAUGGAGCUGCAGCUAAUGUUUUUGUUCCCUUUCGUGCUUGGACUGUGUAGAUUUUCAGCUGUUUUAACUUUUGGAUCUUGACCUUUCGAACGCAAGGACACUUUUUUUCAGCUCGCUUCCAGGUGGCUUCAGUGGGUCUGCCAUUUCAAUUAAAAAAAAGCAUCUUUCUUAAAAUGGUACCUUGUUUUUCAAGACAGAAAAUAUGCUUGUGACCUACCAAGCUGUUGAAGGUUAAUCAGCUUAUUUCCUUUUAAGAAUUCAGAGUUCAGAGGUCAUCACAAGGUUCAAUAACAAAUAUUCAUCGCGUUGAAA